UCCGACCUCGGAUCAGACGAGACUACCCGCUGAACUUAAGCAUAUCAGUAAGCGGAGGAAAAGAAACUAACCAGGAUUCCCUCAGUAACGGCGAGUGAAGCGGGAAGAGCC
rnacentral:rRNA from 1 species